GCACGAAAGGCGUAACGAUUUGGGCACUGUCUCAACGAGAGACUCGGUGAAAUCAUAGUACCUGUGAAGAUGCAGGUUACCCGCGACAGGACGGAAAGACCCCGUGGAGCUUUACUGUAGCCUGAUAUUGAAAUUCGGCACAGCUUGUACAGGAUAGGUAGGAGCCAUUGAAACGUGAGCGCUAGCUUACGUGGAGGCGUUGGUGGGAUACUACCCUAGCUGUGUUGGCUUUCUAACCCGCACCACUUAUCGUGGUGGGAGACAGUGUCAGGCGGGCAGUUUGACUGGGGCGGUCGCCUCCUAAAAGGUAACGGAGGCGCUCAAAGGUUCCCUCAGAAUGGUUGGAAAUCAUUCACAGAGUGUAAAGGCAUAAGGGAGCUUGACUGCGAGACCUACAAG
rnacentral:rRNA from 2 species